rnacentral:rRNA from 1 species
UAUGUGAUACAUUCCUGCCCAGUGACUUUAGUUCAACGGCCGCAGUAUCUUAACUGUGCAAAGGUAGCAUAAUCACUUGCCUAUUAAUUGUAGGCUAGUAUGAACGGAUAAACGAAAUAAAGACUAUCUCAAUUAAACACCUAAAAAUUAUUCUUUACAUGAAGAAAUGUAAAUAAGUUCGAAAGACAAGAAGACCCUAUAGAGCUUUAUUUUAACAUAUUAUAAAACUAUUAAAAAUUCGGUUGGGGCGACCUCGGGACUAUAAAACACCCGUAAAUAAAAAGACUACUAAAUCAUUUAAUUGACCCUAAAAAGAUCACAAAAUUAAGCUACCUUAGGGAUAACAGGCUAAUCUUAUUAAAGAGUUCAUAUCUAUAAUAAGGGUUGGCACCUCGAUGUUGGCUUARGGUAUCUAUAUAGCGCAAAAGUUAUAAAAUGAUGGUUUGUYCAACCAUAAUC